UGUCCUUGACUUGAGCAGAGUGUCAUCUGGUUGGUGGUGCCCAUCUCAUAUCAGCAAGGACAAAGCAACCCCUUGUUUAUCCCAACUUGGCUUUUGGUCUGUGCCCAUGCCUGGUUCAUGCCUUGGACAAAUGG